rnacentral:tRNA from 1 species
AGUUUUAUAUUCAAGUUAUGAUUUUAAAUUGCAAAUUUAAAGGUGUAUUUAUUUAAUAAAUAUUAAGGCUU